CAAUAAGUGAUUUUCCUAUUUUUUUCCUAGGGGAAUGCUGAUUAUCAGUGGUGACUGCGAUAGAAUGGAGAUCAAUAAAGUAUAUUUUUUCUGCAAGUUAAAAAAAAAAAAGCAUGGCUACCCAAGAUCAAAAUUUCAAUCCAUAUUUAGGCAUCCAAAAAUGAUCUACUGUUUUAGAAGUAAUGAUUUCAGUGAGCAAGAUUGUCUCCAGAAUGGGCUUUCUGAGAUAUCUCCAACUUAGUUCCUUCCCAUCCCUAGUUUCACAUCAUGGGCAUUACUCAACUUAAUUGAAAAAUAUCAAAGCUAUUAUUUCAAGUGGGUAUAAAUUUAUGAAUAAUAAAUUAGACUUAGUAAAUGUUGCCAGUUCGUUAAGGUGUAUUUUCUGUACUUUUUUCCUAUGGCAUCUUUCAUUUAAUUUCCAGGGAGAAUCCUUCUGUUGUCUUCUAAAUCAGUGUUUUUCUUUUGGUAAAAAGACGCAAGGAUAUGCCUCAGUCUAUGUGUGCAGAAAAAGACAUCCAGGGCUUCUCUUUCAUCAUCUUAAGAGAGAUGCACGAAGUCAAAAUUGCCCAUUGUGGGAGCACCAAGUCUGA
rnacentral:lncRNA from 1 species